rnacentral:rRNA from 1 species
GACGAACGCUGGCGGCGUGCUUAACACAUGCAAGUCGAACGGAAAGGCCCUGCUUUUGUGGGGUGCUCGAGUGGCGAACGGGUGAGUAACACGUGAGUAACCUGCCCUUGACUUUGGGAUAACUUCAGGAAACUGGGGCUAAUACCGGAUAGGAGCUCCUGCUGCAUGGUGGGGGUUGGAAAGUUUCGGCGGUUGGGGAUGGACUCGCGGCUUAUCAGCUUGUUGGUGGGGUAGUGGCUUACCAAGGCUUUGACGGGUAGCCGGCCUGAGAGGGUGACCGGCCACAUUGGGACUGAGAGACGGACCAGACUCCUACGGGAGGCAGCAGUGGGGAAUAUUGCACAAUGGGCGGAAGCCUGAUGCAGCAACGCCGCGUGCGGGAUGACGGCCUUCGGGUUGUAAACCGCUUUCGCCUGUGACGGAGCGUGAGUGACGGUAAUGGGUAAAGAAGCACCGGCUAACUACGUG